UACGUAGGGCGCAAGCGUUGUCCGGAAUUAUUGGGCGUAAAGAGCUCGUAGGCGGCCUGUCGCGUCUGCUGUGAAAUCCCGGGGCUUAACCCCGGGCGUGCAGUGGAUACGGGCUGGCUGGAGGCAGGCAGGGGAGAAUGGAAUUCCCGGUGUAGCGGUGAAAUGCGCAGAUAUCGGGAGGAACACCGGUGGCGAAGGCGGUUCUCUGGGGCCUGUUCUGACGCUGAGGAGCGAAAGCGUGGGGAGCGAACAGG
rnacentral:rRNA from 1 species